GUGCCAGCAGCCGCGGUAAUACGUAGGGUGCGAGCGUUAAUCGGAAUUACUGGGCGUAAAGGGUGCGCAGGUGGUUUUGCAAGACUGACGUGAAAGCCCCGGGCUCAACCUGGGAACGGCGUUAGUGACUGCAAGACUAGAGUGUGGCAGAGGGGGGUGGAAUUCCACGUGUAGCAGUGAAAUGCGUAGAGAUGUGGAGGAACACCGAUGGCGAAGGCAGCCCCCUGGGCUAACACUGACACUCAUGCACGAAAGCGUGGGGAGCAAACAGGAUUAGAUACCCUGGUAGUCCACGCCCUAAACGAUGUCAACUGGUUGUUGGGAUUUUCGGAUCUUAGUAACGAAGCUAACGCGAGAAGUUGACCGCCUGGGGAGUACGGCCGCAAGGUUAAAACUUAAAGAAAUUGACGG
rnacentral:rRNA from 1 species